AAAAUCUAAAUCAUCAUACUGAACAUACCUCGUAUAUUCAUACUCUCCAAAUAUCUGUAUUUUCAAUACGGAACAUGCCGCUACUUCAUAGUACUUGGUUGUCAUUUUAAACGUCGUUUUCAAUGACAGUGUCACUUCAUCGACUUGACCCCCUACUCCCUGACAUACACUGGAAGGGAAAAAUUAAUCCUUAAAAAGGCAUGUAAUUCGAAAAAUAAAUCAUUUCUAUUUCAACAAAUCAUCUUCCUCUUGGGUUUUUUGGAAAGAGAUCAACCUUUCCCUCUUCGGGAACUUAAGCCUCACAUCACCGGUGAUGCACACUUGAAGGCGAAGACAAUGACAUCCAGACUGCACAACCACCACCUCUAGCUGCAGGGGCCUUGGGCCGAAGAUCCGCCCAGGUCAAGAGAAGUCCACAGCAGUACCAUACGACAUCAAGAAGAUACCAUCAGCUACCAAAAGCCAUAAGUAUAAUCCAGAAUUGUUAGUUUUUGGCAAGAAUUUGAAUACAUUUGUUAAUGCAAUUUACUAAGUCAUUUUAUUUAUUAUAUCUUUAUGAACAAUAAACAUGAUUAGUUAAAAUUA
rnacentral:lncRNA from 1 species